UGGGGAAUAUUGCACAAUGGGGGAAACCCUGAUGCAGCGACGCCGCGUGAGGGAAGAAGGUUUUCGGAUUGUAAACCUCUGUCUUCGGGGACGAACAGAUGACGGUACUCGAGGAGGAAGCCACGGCUAACUACGUGCCAGCAGCCGCGGUAAAACGUAGGUGGCAAGCGUUGUCCGGAAUUACUGGGUGUAAAGGGAGCGCAGGCGGAGCUGUAAGUUGGGCGUCAAAUCUACGGGCUUAACCCGUAACCGCGCUCAAAACUGCGGCUCUUGAGUAGUGCAGAGGCAGGCGGAAUUCCCGGUGUAGCGGUGGAAUGCGUAGAUAUCGGGAGGAACACCAGUGGCGAAGGCGGCCUGCUGGGCACCAACUGACGCUGAGGCUCGAAAGCAUGGGUAGCAAACAGG
rnacentral:rRNA from 1 species